rnacentral:rRNA from 1 species
GACGAACGCUGGCGGCGUGCUUAACACAUGCAAGUCGAACGGAAAGGCCCUGCUUUUGUGGGGUGCUCGAGUGGCGAACGGGUGAGUAACACGUGAGUAACCUGCCCUUGACUUUGGGAUAACUUCAGGAAACUGGGGCUAAUACCGGAUAGGAGCUCCUGCUGCAUGGUGGGGGUUGGAAAGUUUCGGCGGUUGGGGAUGGACUCGCGGCUUAUCAGCUUGUUGGUGGGGUAGUGGCUUACCAAGGCUUUGACGGGUAGCCGGCCUGAGAGGGUGACCGGCCACAUUGGGACUGAGAUACGGCCCAGACUCCUACGGGAGGCAGCAGUGGGGAAUAUUGCACAAUGGGCGGAAGCCUGAUGCAGCAACGCCGCGUGCGGGAUGACGGCCUUCGGGUUGUAAACCGCUUUCGCCUGUGACGAAGCGUGAGUGACGGUAAUGGGUAAAGAAGCACCGGCUAACUACGUGCCAGCAGCCGCGGUGAUACGUAGGGUGCGAGCAUUGUCCGGAUUUAUUGGGCGUAAAGGGCUCGUAGGUGGUUGAUCGCGUCGGAAGUGUAAUCUUGGGGCUUAACCCUGAGCGUGCUUUCGAUACGGGUUGACUUGAGGAAGGUAGGGGAGAAUGGAAUUCCUGGUGGAGCGGUGGAAUGCGCAGAUAUCAGGAGGAACACCAGUGGCGAAGGCGGUUCUCUGGGCCUUUCCUGACGCUGAGGAGCGAAAGCGUGGGGAGCGAACAGGCUUAGAUACCCUGGUAGUCCACGCUGUAAACGGUGGGUACUAGGUGUGGGGUCCAUUCCACGGGUUCCGUGCCGUAGCUAACGCUUUAAGUACCCCGCCUGGGGAGUACGGCCGCAAGGCUAAAACUCGAAGGAAUUGACGGGGCCCCGCACAAGCGGCGGAGCAUGCGGAUUAAUUCGAUGCAACGCGUAGAACCUUACCUGGGUUUGACAUGGAUCGGGAGUGCUCAGAGAUGGGUGUGCCUCUUUUGGGGUCGGUUCACAGGUGGUGCAUGGCUGUCGUCAGCUCGUGUCGUGAGAUGUUGGGUUAAGUCCCGCAACGAGCGCAACCCUUGUUCACUGUUGCCAGCACGUUAUGGUGGGGACUCAGUGGAGACCGCCGGGGUCAACUCGGAGGAAGGUGGGGAUGACGUCAAGUCAUCAUGCCCCUUAUGUCCAGGGCUUCACGCAUGCUACAAUGGCUGGUACAGAGAGUGGCGAGCCUGUGAGGGUGAGCGAAUCUCGGAAAGCCGGUCUCAGUUCGGAUUGGGGUCUGCAACUCGACCUCAUGAAGUCGGAGUCGCUAGUAGUCGCAGAUCAGCAACGCUGCGGUGAAUACGUUCCCGGGGCU